GUAACUUCGUUUACAGAUUUUCGUUUACAUUCUUCCUUGGUGAGAGAAUUCAGUUUUGUUCACAUGCAAUGCAAACAAAUUUACGUCACAGUUUGCAUAAUUAGCUACCAAAUAUUUGAUAAUUUAUGUAUUUUAAAUCCAACAUUGUCAUUUGCAAAACUGCAUUAUGCUUUACAUUAUCCUCAGCAUAACGCAUAUAUGGAUUUUCAAACGAUUUAAUCACUUAUAUACGCGAUAACCUGACAUUUAACGAUAACUCAUUAUGCAAAGUGUGACGUAAAUUUGAUUGCACUGCAUAUCAAGAAAACUGAAUAUCCCACCAAGGAAGCACGUAAACAAAAAUGUGCAAAAGAAGUUGCUUUACAGUUUUGACGAUUCUUUCAGAUGGGGCAAUAAAAAAUUUUGUGUCAGGUCACCUUUAAGUGGCAGCACUCUUCCCGUGACGAGUAAAAUUGUCUGACGUUAGACAGAGUAAAAU